rnacentral:rRNA from 1 species
GAUGAACGCUGGCGGCGUGCUUAAUACAUGCAAGUCGAGCGAACAGACGAGGAGCUUGCUCCUCUGAUGUUAGCGGCGGACGGGUGAGUAACACGUGGAUAACCUACCUAUAAGACUGGGAUAACUUCGGGAAACCGGAGCUAAUACCGGAUAACAUGUUGAACCGCAUGGUUCAACAGUGAAAGACGGUCUUGCUGUCACUUAUAGAUGGAUCCGCGCCGCAUUAGCUAGUUGGUAAGGUAACGGCUUACCAAGGCAACGAUGCGUAGCCGACCUGAGAGGGUGAUCGGCCACACUGGAACUGAGACACGGUCCAGACUCCUACGGGAGGCAGCAGUAGGGAAUCUUCCGCAAUGGGCGAAAGCCUGACGGAGCAACGCCGCGUGAGUGAAGAAGGUCUUCGGAUCGUAAAACUCUGUUAUUAGGGAAGAACAAAUGUGUAAGUAACUAUGCACGUCUUGACGGUACCUAAUCAGAAAGCCACGGCUAACUACGUG